UCCGCGCAUGCGCCCAGACCGCCCCGCAGGCCUUUCUCGCCCCGGCAGUUAGCCAGCUCCUGCGCGCUGGGGUCAUCGCCAGCCGGUCCGCAGAGGGGUCACCGCGACCCCCGGCGCGGACACAGAGGCCGCCCUCAGCCCCGCUGCCUCGUCGUCCCGCCCCCGCCGCACCGUCCCUUACCCCUCGGACCUCGCAGUGCCGAAGCGGAUAAGGUCCAACUGCGGAAGUGAACGCGCAGAACUACAUUUCCCAGAGUCCUUCUCGCGCUGGAACUACACUUCCCGGGGGGGACCGCGGCGCACCAGACGGGGGCGCGGAUUGAAGGUUUCCGGUUGGAAAAGCCCCUGGGCGACUAACUGGCGAGGACUGAAAGAAAUAUAGUAUGGAGCCCGCACUGCUGGCCCAACAUUAUCUAUGAGAGAACGUAAAGGUGCCUCCAGGAGGAAACGGCUGCAUCUUUUCCUGGCUUUUUUUUUUUUUUUUUUUUUUGAGGCACGGUCUCGCUCUGUCACCCAGCUGGGAGUGCAGUGGCGAUCACCACUCAUUGCAACCUCAGACUGGUCUCCAACUCCUGCCUUCUGCCCUAGCCUCCCCAAAUGCUGGAAUUACAGGCACGUCUGGCUUCUUUUACAUUUUUGAUCGUAGCUGCACGGUGGCUCAUACCUGUAAUCCCAGCUACUCAGCAGAUUGAGGCAGGAGAAUCACUUGAAUCCGGGAGGCGGAAGUUGCAGUGAGCCGAGAUCGUGCCGUUGCACUCCAGCCUGGGCAACAGAGACUCUAUCUCAAAAAAUAAAAUCUGUGUUUCCUGGGCAGCUAUCCUGAAACUUUAUACUUGAGUAAACUCUCUUUAAACUUGAUUCUGACUCUUGUGAUUAGGCUGACAUUUUGGUGACCACGAGGGGACCCAAAGCAAGUCUCUAGUUAUCCCUGACAUUUUGCCAACAAUAAGAGCCUUAGUGCUGUGGGAAGUAGAAAAGAUCCUUUUUAAAGUUUCUUUUCUUGUUAAAGAAUAAGUGUGCUAGUAGCUCUUUGUUAUUCUAUGUACCUGUUAGACAUACUUACAGGCACAUAGUACGUUCUGUGUCCUUGUACUUUAACCAAGAUAUCUGUGCUGGACAUGCUCACAGGCAUGUCCCAGCCAUCUAUUGCUUUUACCUGUUUAGAAAAGUUUUAAGUUGUUAGCCAAUCGGGUUUUAGUUUAAAUUGUGAGGUCUGGCUCCAGCCAAUGGAGAUUAGACACAACGGUAAGGAUGAUGCCAAAUGCGUAUGGGAUAAAUGAGUCUGCUUUCCUUUGUUCAUUGUACUCUUGCGGCAAGAUGGCUGGUGAGAGUAUGCUUCCUGCAGUCCAGGAAGUAAAAAUUGCAUUGCUGAAAGAUCCUUUGUCUCAGGGCUGACUUUUCUUUGUGGCACCAAGCAUCUAUUUCCAACAGGAAAGAUAUGAACAUUUAUGUGCAAGAAGCUCAAAAGUCCCUCAGCAGGUAAGAAAAUAUCACCAAGACAUGUUAUAAUCAAAUCAUCAAAAAUCAGACAGGCAAGGCAUGGUGGCUCAUGCCUGUAUUCUCAAGACUUUGGGAGGCUGAGGCAGAAGGAUCACUUGAGCCCAGGAGUUGGAGGCCAGCCUGAGCAACACAGUGAGACCAUGUCUCCACACAAAACAAUAAGCCAGAUGUGAUGGCAUGUGCCUGUAGUGCCAGCUAAUUGGGAGGCUGAGGUGAUAGGAUCACUUGAGCCCAUGAUGUUGAGGCUGCAGUGAGUCAUGAUCUUGCCACUGCACUUUCAUCUGGGUGACAAAGCAGUCUCUGCUUCCAAAAAAAAAAGAAAGAAAAAGAAAGUUAAAGACAAAGCAUAUCUUGAAAGUGGUAAGAGAAAAGGAUAAUAAGAUAAAGUAGCAAGAGAAAAUUACUAAGGAUUAUCAGUGGAUUUCUCAGCAGAAACUUUGUAGGCUAGGAGACAGCGGGAUGAUAUUUUCCAAAUGCUGAAAAAACAACACUGCUAAUCAAGAAUACUUUACCCCUAAAGCUGUCCUUCAGAAAUGAAAGAGAGAAAGAUUUACCCAAACAGAAGCUGAGGGAGUAUAUCACCACUAGGCCUGCCUUACUAGAAAUGCUAAAGUAUGUUCUUUAAGCUGAAGUGAAAAGUUGUUAAUUAGUAACAUGAAAACAUGAAAGUAUAAAACUAGUAAAAGUAUACAGUCAUAUUCAGAAUACCCUAAUGCUAUAAUGAUGAUGUGUAAUUUAUUUAUUUAUUUCUAGUAUAAAGAUUAAAAAACAAAACUAUUUUGUUUUUUUUGAGAGAGAGUUUUUUACUGCCCAGGCUGGAGUGCAGUGGUGUGAUCUCAGUUCACUGAAACCUCUGUCUCCUGGGUUCAAACAAUUCUGCCUUAUCCUCCCAAGUAGCUGGGAUUACAGGUGCCUGCCACCAUGCCCAGCUAAAUUUUUGUAUUUUUAUUUAUUUAUUUAUUUAUUUAUUAUUUUUGAGACGGAGUUUUGCUCUUUGUUACCCAGGCUGGAGUGCAAUGGCGCAAUCUCGGCUCACCGCAACCUCCACCUCCUGGGUUCAGACAAUUCUCCUGCCUCAGCCUCCUGAGCAGCUGGGAUUACAGGCACGCACCACCAUGCCCAGCUAAUUUUUUGUAUUUUUAGUAGAGACGGGGUUUCAUCAUGUUGACCAGGAUGGUCCUGAUCUCUUGACCUCGUGAUCCACCCACCUCAGCCUCCCAAAGUGCUGAGAUUACAGGCGUGAGCCACCGCAACUGGCCAAUUUUUUGUAUUUUUAGUAGAGAAAGGGUUUCCUCUGUUGGCCAGGCUGUUCUCUAACUCCUGAUCUCAGGUGAUCCACCCACCUGGGCCUUCCAAAGUGCUGGGAUUACAGGUGUGAACCACCAUGCCAGGCCGACAAAACUACUAAAAAUAACUAUAGCUAAAACCAUUUGUUAGUAGAUACAUAAUGUAAAAAGAUGUAAAUUGUGGCUGGGCACAGUGGCUCAUGCCUGUAGUCCCAGCACUGUGGGAGAACGAGACAGGCAGAUCACCUAAGGUUAGGAGUUCGAGACCAGCCUGGCCAACAUGGUGAAACCCUCUCUCUACUAAAAGUACAAAAAUUAGCCAGGCAUGGUGGCAGUGCCUAUAAUCCCAGCUACUCAGGAGGCUGAGAAGGGAGGAUCACUUGAACCCAGAAGGUAGAGGUUGCAGUGAGCCAAGAUUGUGUCCUUGUGCUCCAGCUUGGGCAACAAGAGUAAAACUCCAUCUCAAAAAAAAAAAAAGUCAACUGAACACAAAAGAAGACAGCAAUGCAGGAAAUUAGAGAUAAAAAAGAUUAUAAGCCACUUCAAAAACAAAGCAAAAUGACAGAAAUGUCUUCCUCAUUAGUAGUUAAUUUAAAUGUAUAUGACUAAACUUUUCAAUCAAAAGACUUACAUUUGAAGAUUGAAUAAAAAUACAUAGUUCAACUAUAUGCUGUUAUAAGAGACUCACUUUACAUCCAAAAUCACAAAUAGUGAAAGUGAAAGGAUUGAAAAUGAUGUUCCAUGUAAAUAUCCCAAAGAAAGCAGUGAUGCUUGCAUCAGACAAAAUAGUCUAUAAACCAGAAGAGAUUACAAGACAAAGAGUGACAUUGUAGCUUAAUAUUCAGUGUAGGACCUUAUAAAUCUAAUAACUGAUCAUUAAAAUAUAUAAAGAAAAAACUGACAGAAUUAAUGAGAGCAAUAUUCUAGAAUAAUCAUUGAAGACUCUGAUUAUGACUUAAGAUAUUUGCAUCACUGUUGACAAUGGAAAUCAAUCUUUUAUUUUUAUUUUCUGUGAUACAUUUUUAGGUUUACAUAUUAUUGUUAUAAUUGUUCCAGAAAUUUUGAAUUUUUUUUUUUUUUUGCUUUGUUUAGUUUUUUGAGAUGGAGUCUCACUCUGUGGCCAGGCUGGAGUGCAGUGGCACAACUGCAGCUCACUGCAACCUCCGCCUCGUGGGUUCAGGCAAUUCUCCUGCCUCAGCCUCCUGAGCAGCUGGGAUUACAGGCACGUGCCAGCUAAUUUUUUGUAUUUUUAGUAGAGACGGGGUUUCACCAUGUUGACCAGGAUAGUCUUGAUCUCUUGACUUCAUGAUCCACCCGCCUCGGCCUCCCAAAUGAUUGUUUCUUUAGCUGUGCAGAAACUCUUAAGUUUAACUAGAUCCCAUUUGUCUAUUUUGGCUUUUGCUGCCAUUUCUUUUGGUGUUUUAGUCAUGAAGCCCUUGCCUAUGCCUAUGUCCUGAAUGGUGUUGCUUAGGUUUUCUUCUAGGGUUUUUAUGGUGUUAGUUCUUAUGUUUAAAUCUUCAAUCCAUCUGCAGUUAAUUUUUGUAUAAAGUGUAAAGAAGGGGUCCAGUUUCAGCUUCCUGCACAUGACUUAAUUGUCCAUGACUAGCCAGUUUUCUCAACGCCAUUUAUUAAACAGGGUUUGCAUUUUCUUUUUGCUGGAUUAGAAUACCUAGUUGUUUUUUAUUUUGUUAAUGUUCUUCAAAAACAUGUUUUUUAUUAAUUAGUUCUACUGUUGUUCUGCUUUCAACCACAUUUAUUUCAUUUCUGCUUUUAUCUCUCUUAUUUCCAACAGUCAAACUCAGUGGCUUUAAAAAAGUUUUAUUGAAAUACAAUUGACAUUCCACAAAAUUUAUCAAAUGCAGUCUCACUCUGUUGCUCAGCUAACUGCAACCUCUGCCUCAAGUGAUUCUCGUGCCUCAGCUUCCCAAGUAGCUGGGACUACAGGGAUGGUUGUCAUUCAAGGAUAUAUCUAUGGAGUUCACCUGGGAUGAGUGGCAGCUACUGGAUUCUACACAGAAAUACCUGUACAGAGAGGUGAUACUGGAAAACUAUCAUAACCUGAUCUCGGGUAUCAUGGUGCCAAGCCUGACUUAAUCUUCAAGUUGGAACAAGGAGAAGAUCCGUGGAUAGUAAAUGCCAAAAUUUCCAGGGAAAGCUGUCCAGAUGGCUGGGAAGAAUGGUACCAGAAAAACCAAGAUGAGCUUGA